CGCGGCCUAUCAGCUUGUUGGUGAGGUAAUGGCUUACCAAGGCGACGACGGGUAGCCGGCCUGAGAGGGUGACCGGCCACACUGGGACUGAGACACGGCCCAGACUCCUACGGGAGGCAGCAGUGGGGAAUAUUGCACAAUGGGCGAAAGCCUGAUGCAGCGACGCCGCGUGAGGGAUGACGGCCUUCGGGUUGUAAACCUCUUUCAGUAGGGAAGAAGCGAAAGUGACGGUACCUGCAGAAGAAGCGCCGGCUAACUACGUGCCAGCAGCCGCGGUAAUACGUAGGGCGCAAGCGUUAUCCGGAAUUAUUGGGCGUAAAGAGCUCGUAGGCGGUUUGUCGCGUCUGCCGUGAAAGUCCGGGGCUCAACUCCGGAUCUGCGGUGGGUACGGGCAGACUAGAGUGAUGUAGGGGAGACUGGAAUUCCUGGUGUAGCGGUGAAAUGCGCAGAUAUCAGGAGGAACACCGAUGGCGAAGGCAGGUCUCUGGGCAUUAACUGACGCUGAGGAGCGAAAGCAUGGGGAGCGAACAGGAUUAGAUACCCUGGUAGUCCAUGCCGUAAACGUUGGGCACUAGGUGUGGGGGACAUUCCACGUUUUCCGCGCCGUAGCUAACGCAUUAAGUGCCCCGCCUGGGGAGUACGG
rnacentral:rRNA from 1 species